CCCCCCCACAAUUCCCUUUACUCACGGCGGCCUAACUUCUCCCUCCCUCACCUUUUCUUAUUUUUUUCUCUCUUUUGUGCUUGAAUUUUAUGUGUGCUAGUUACUUUUUUUUUUAUGUACUUUUUCUUUUGUAGGUUUUUACAAAGUGGAGUUCCCGAAAGAGAUGAAUUGAAUAAUAUGCUUGCUGCCUUGAAUCAUAUUUUUUUUGUGGAUGCGAAGAGACCUUGUUUUCAUCUUCAAUAUGCAAACAUUAGAGUCAAGCAGAGAAGUCUUCUGAGGAGGGUGUCGUCAUAGAGAUUCCAAUUGCUGCUUUGUAUGAAGGCUCGCCAAGUGACUAUCAAAUAAUCUGUAUUCUUGGAGUCACUAGUCAACAUUAGAAUUUAAUUGUAGUUAGCAUUCUUAGCAUGAUGGGAGAAAAUUUUGUAUUUCUUGAGAACCAUUUAGUAUUGGUGGUGUUAUAAUAUUUAUAAAAAUGUAGUGUGUUGAAGUGACUCUUUUAUUGUAAUUCAGAAUUGUUUCAGAGUGUAUGACUUGUAUAUCGAAAUUAUAUGAAUGAUUAUGGUAUUAGAUUAGA